GACGAACGCUGGCGGCGUGCCUAAUACAUGCAAGUUGAGCGCUGAAGGUUGGUACUUGUACCGACUGGAUGAGCAGCGAACGGGUGAGUAACGCGUGGGGAAUCUGCCUUUGAGCGGGGGACAACAUUUGGAAACGAAUGCUAAUACCGCAUAAAAACUUUAAACACAAGUUUUAAGUUUGAAAGAUGCAAUUGCAUCACUCAAAGAUGAUCCCGCGUUGUAUUAGCUAGUUGGUGAGGUAAAGGCUCACCAAGGCGAUGAUACAUAGCCGACCUGAGAGGGUGAUCGGCCACAUUGGGACUGAGACACGGCCCAAACUCCUACGGGAGGCAGCAGUAGGGAAUCUUCGGCAAGGGACGAAAGUCUGACCGAGCAACGCCGCGUGAGUGAAGAAGGUUUUCGGAUCGUAAAACUCUGUCGGUAGAGAAGAACGUUGGUGAGAGUGGAAAGCUCAUCAAGUGACGGUAACUACCCAGAAAGGGACGGCUAACUACGUG
rnacentral:rRNA from 1 species